GGGCGGGGUGCCGCGCAGGCGCGAUGGGCUGCUCGCGGGGCACAGGGCCCCCUCUUGGGAGAGGACCUGACUAAAGGCUCCUCCGCUGUGCAACCGUUUGCUGCAAGAAUCGCCGCCGUCGUAAUAAAGACCGGAAGCUGAGGUUUUUAUCCGUUAGUAGCCGGUUGACUGAAGACUCAGCCUCACACUUAGGUGGUGAGGCAGUGGCCCUCGGACGGAACCAGGCGUGAGUCUGUCACCUGUUCGUCUAUCAUCCCUCAGUUCCCCAAAAAGCUUGAGCCCACGGUGCUUAACGCAGCUUUGCAUCAAGUUUAAAAUACUAAAGUUUGCACGGUGUGCGGGGCUUUUCUGCCCUUCCCGUGCUUUAGCUGACCCCCAUUUCAACGUAAACUACAUUUCAAGUGCAUCUGAGUCCCUAAUAGCGUUCCUGUGAAGUUGGUCACACAGGUACAUUGUAAUCCCAUGUUUCUUCUGCGAAAACUCAUGCCAAAAAUGCUGGGCAACCUUGAGCAUUCUGCUAGAUUGAAAAUAUAACUUGUGUCCUGUUUGAGGGUAUUCAUACUCAUCAAUUAGUACGGAGAGCGUGAUAGACAAGAUGCAAAUAAGAAAUGUCUUUGGCAAAAGUCUCUAACCUACACUCGAAGAUCACUCUUCCUGAGCUACAAGAACAACAAAUUCUAGGAAGACUGAAGUCGUUGGAAACUCUUACAGGCCACAUCAGCAGGAGAACUGGCGAUCUGAAGAAAAUGUUAAGAUAAUAAAGAACCGUUUCACAAUGUAUGAUGUCACUAUGAUAUAAAGAAGGUUUUAAAGAGAGAUGAAUAUAAAGAUUCAACCCACUUUGCUAGCUUUGAAGACAAGAAGGAGAAACCAAGGAACAUGGAAGCAUCCACAAGCCAGAAACAGCUCCCAGUUUACAGCCAGCAAGACAGUGAUGACCUUGGUCCUAAAACCUCAAGCAAUCCAGUUCUUCUAAAAGUUCAACAGAUAAGUUCUCCCUCUAGAGUGAAACACAGUCUACUGCCACCUAUACCUCCCUUCUAAAGAACUAUAAAAGUGUUUAUGUUGUUUAAAUUCACCAAUCUGGGCCCAUUAUUAAGAGCAGCAAUAAGAAAAUAAUGCAAGUGCUUCAUCUAUUUGAGAUUCAGUUACUUUUUUCCGCUUAAGUCUCAACCCCAUGUAUUAAAGGUAUAUCUCGUCUUAGCCUGUGUUGCUUAGUUCACUGUGACAGUUUUCUUAUUGAAAUGCAAUUAAUGUUUUAUUUGGAGCUUGCAAGCAUGGAAUAAUACGUAAAAAUUAUUUGUAACCUGUAAAAGGCUACAGAGGUGUCAGAUACUAACAUUGUUACUUGAUUUCUCUUUAUUCUUAGACCAAAGCUCAAAAGUCAUAUUUAUAUCCUAUAUUUACCCACUGAGGUCUAAUAUACACAAAAUUCAAAAUUUAUUGCUCCCCUCAGCAGAAUUGUGGCAGGGAGAGUAAUCUUAGUAGUUUGUUUCAUUGGAUAUGUACAGCAACAAGUCCUGUGAAAAUGCGGGUAGAAUUCAGUUAUCGUCGUGAUAUAAAAUGAGAUAAAGUAAGCCCCAGAUUUGCUCCUAACCCUUGCAUUCUAAAAUUGAAAUAUUUCCUAGGAUUUGGAAGUAGUCUUUAGAAGUUUGUGAACAUCUGAACAUUAGAGUAAACAGGCCUCAGAUUCUAAGUGGAAAUAGGAGAAAUGAUGUGGGUAGAUGGAUGAAAGGGCAGGAGACAGGAUGGAAGGAAGAGGGAUGUGGAUGAGUGGAUGGCUGGAUAGCAAAUACUGGGAAUUUAUUUUAGACACUUAUAAUUUCUUAGGGUGUAACAAGGGCUCAAGAACUGUAAAGAAGAAAUCAGGUAAAGUGUUCUACAGUCUCUGUACCAGGAACUUCUCCCGACCCCAACUGUAAAGAGAGUCUGCAUAGUUAUUUCCUCCUAAAUAGCAACUGUUCCGUUCUCUGUGGCCCCUUGAUUUCUCUUAUUACCUAAAAGGAAAAAACUACUAGAAUCAUUUUAUUCUUUGAAAAUCAUCUAGAGAUACAUGUAAUUAAAACAUAAUCUCUAUUUCUGGCAUUUGGGACAGGUUGCAUUAAUAUUUAGAAUAAAAUAGAUAAUAAAAAUUAUGGGGAAAAUGUAUCUGGUAGUACAAAUGGCCCUUGAUGAGCAGAUAGUUUUUCUUGAUCAAUAAAGUGAAUUUUCAAGAUGUGCUGGGUUGAAAACAUAAACUUUACACUAUAGUGAACAUUUCUCCCUUAAAAAUAACUUAAGUACUAUUUUAUAUUUAGCAUUAAAACAGACUGGGUUUUUUCACUUUGAAAGACAUUAAAAUUUGUUUCUAAGUAGCCAACAAAUUGAACCACUUUUCCGUAGCUGAGUAGCAUUCGUGGAAUCAGCUGGACAGACCUGUUUUAACAAGGCAAAAGUCAACAUUUUGUAAAUGCCAACAUCAAAUAUAAUUUAUAAUAAAGACUGUAAGCAAUA